rnacentral:rRNA from 1 species
GACGAACGCUGGCGGCGUGCCUAAUACAUGCAAGUAGAACGCUGAAGGAGGAGCUUGCUUCUCUGGAUGAGUUGCGAACGGGUGAGUAACGCGUAGGUAACCUGCCUGGUAGCGGGGGAUAACUAUUGGAAACGAUAGCUAAUACUGCAUAAGAGUAGAUGUUGCAUGACAUUUGCUUAAAAGGUGCAAUUGCAUCACUACCAGAUGGACCUGCGUUGUAUUAGCUAGUUGGUGGGGUAACGGCUCACCAAGGCGACGAUACAUAGCCGACCUGAGAGGGUGAUCGGCCACACUGGGACUGAGACACGGCCCAGACUCCUACGGGAGGCAGCAGUAGGGAAUCUUCGGCAAUGGACGGAAGUCUGACCGAGCAACGCCGCGUGAGUGAAGAAGGUUUUCGGAUCGUAAAGCUCUGUUGUAAGAGAAGAACGAGUGUGAGAGUGGAAAGUUCACACUGUGACGGUAUCUUACCAGAAAGGGACGGCUAACUACGUG